GCAAGGUAGCAUAAUCAUUAGUUUUUUAAUUGAAGGCUUGUAUGAAUGAUUGGACGAGAUAUAAUCUGUCUCUAUUAAAUUUUUAGAAUUUUAUUUUUUAGUUAAAAAGCUAAAAUAUUUUUAAAAGACGAGAAGACCCUAUAGAUCUUUAUAUAAUAAAUUUUAUUUUUUUAUUAGAUUAUUUUUGAUAAUAUAAUUUAUUAUAUUUUAUUGGGGUGAUAUUGAAAUUGAAUUAACUUUCAAAUUAAAAUAAAAACAGUAAUUUCUGAAUUAUUGAUCCUGUAUUAUUGAUUAAAAAUUUAAGUUACCUUAGGGAUAACAGCGUAAUUAUUUUGGAGAGUUCUUAUCGAUAAAAUAGAUUGCGACCUCGAUGUUGGAUUAAGAUUAAU
rnacentral:rRNA from 1 species